UCGGGAAUUUUGGGCAAUGGGGGAAACCCUGACCCAGCAACGCCGCGUGAAGGAUGAAGUAUUUCGGUAUGUAAACUUCGAAAGAAUAGGAAGAAUAAAUGACGGUACUAUUUAUAAGGUCCGGCUAACUACGUGCCAGCAGCCGCGGUAAUACGUAGGGACCAAGCGUUGUUCGGAUUUACUGGGCGUAAAGGGCGCGUAGGCGGCAUGACAAGUCACUUGUGAAAUCUCUGGGCUUAACCCAGAACGGCCAAGUGAUACUGUCGCGCUAGAGUGCAGAAGGGGCAAUCGGAAUUCUUGGUGUAGCGGUGAAAUGCGUAGAUAUCAAGAGGAACACCUGAGGUGAAGACGGGUUGCUGGGCCGACACUGACGCUGAGGCGCGAAAGCCAGGGGAGCAAACGGGAUUAGAUACCCCAGUAGUCCCUGAGCGGGCUGGCAAGGCGCAU
rnacentral:rRNA from 1 species